UACGUAGGGUGCAAGCGUUGUCCGGAAUUAUUGGGCGUAAAGAGCGUGUAGGCGGCCCGAUUAGUCCGCUGUGAAAGUCCAGGGCUCAACCCUGGAAUGCCGGUGGAUACUGUCGGGCUAGAGUCCGGAAGGGGCGAGUGGAAUUCCUGGUGUAGCGGUGAAAUGCGCAGAUAUCAGGAGGAACACCAAUUGCGAAGGCAGCUCGCUGGGACGUUACUGACGCUGAGGAGCGAAAGCGUGGGGAGCGAACAGG
rnacentral:rRNA from 1 species